rnacentral:rRNA from 1 species
AGAGUUUGAUCCUGGCUCAGGACGAACGCUGGCGGCGUGCUUAAGACAUGCAAGUCGAGCGGAGAUGAGCUUCGGUUCAUCUUAGCGGCGAACGGGUGAGUAACACGUGGGUAAUCUGCCCCACUCUCUGGGAUAACAGGCCGAAAGGCUUGCUAAUACCGGAUAAGCCCACGGCCCUGCAUGGGGCUGAGGGAAAAGGC